AAUAGAUAUAAAUGUAACUUUAACUAUUUGACACCUCACGUGCAAAGCCCGCGAAAGAACCGGAGGUUAUAUAAGCUGCGGUCGUCACGUGACGCGCACAGCCGGACUCUGAUGGACGUCGCCUGACGGGAGAGCUUUCAUGAGGUAAAGUAUUUUUUGUGUACACAAGUAUAAAAUCGACGGCCUGUCAUUUAAAUGUACCAUAAGCCUACUGUUCACUGUUCAAACGAGCCGUUCCGUCUUUAUUUUGUACGGCCCGCUCUUCAGCUCCGUUAAUUACCGUUAAUGCCGUUCUGUGUGACGUCAUUUGCGCAGAUCUGCUAGAAUUGAGAAAACCUCCUUUCGUUUCACAUUCAUGUCGGUCAAGAUUGUCAUCCGAUUGUUGUAAGUGAUCAGUCAAGCAGUCAUCCUGCAUCUUGGAUUUGCCAUGUUCAGUUUGUACAAACAUUAUCUGAUAUUGAGUGAGGCUUUUUCUUUUGCUCCCCUUUGUUUGUGUGUCAGUAGCUGCUGCACCCCAAAGCCUCCACAGCACAGCACAGCACAGCUCAGGCUUUAGCUUUUGUGCUGGAUGGAGAAACUGAGAAGUUUAUAAACAGAAGGCAUGGAAGAAGAGAGCAGGUCCUAAAACAAAGAAAUUCUUCUUAAGGAUAAACCUGAGGUCCUGGGAGUUCUUAGAGUUCUAAAGUGUUUUUUAUGCAUUUGUUGAUGUCAAAUUUUCAAUAAUAAAUUAAAAUAAAUUCUCAUAGUUUUUACAUUUA